GGGAGCAUUAAGAUAUAGACGACCACGACGUAAUGCAUUAAUGAAAGUACAAAUGCCAGUGAUUAAGAACGCCGAAUGCAAAAUAGCUUAUUCCAAAUUUCCUAAUGCACCUGAUAUCACUGAUGGUAUAAUAUGUGCCGAACAUGCUCAGGGUGGAGAGGAUUCUUGUACGGCUGACCGCGGCGGACCACUGCUGAUACAACAUGAAUUAACCUCGUAUUUAAUAGGUAUUGUGUCUUAUGCUUAUAAGUGCGGCACAGCUGGGUAUCCCAGCAUUUACACUAGGGUCACAUCGUACCUUGACUUCAUUCUCCAAGCGAUGCAAUAAUAUGAUAUUACUGUUCCAUAAAUAUCAUUGUGUAAAAAACGUAAAGUUGGAUUUUCUUAUUGUGGAGAUAAGAAACAGCUCAAAUUUACAUUGUUUUGUACGUUACAAAUUAUAGGCUUAAAAUGUACGAAAUGUAACUUUGAAACGACACUAAUUUUUUACGCACGAUAAACCUCCACGACUUAGAUUAUAGAUUCCUAUACGACUCUCAGUAAAAAUUUAUCCGCACUCCAGAUAGUUAAAACUUCUGUCGACCGUAUUGAUCCAUCUGCACUCUUCGUAUGACGUCAAUAUCUGUUCAGUGCUGCUGCGCAGGUUUCUUUGUGUUACGUCAAUUCGUUUGUGACCGUUGCGCGAGUAAUGGCGCUUUGCAAUGGUGAUUUGCAGGAAAACAGUGCAGGAUGCUGUGAUUCGUUUCUUGUGGUCGGAGGUUAUGUUUGAUGCCUAUAUUUAUCAAAGAUUUAAUGCACAUUAUGGAGAAAGUGUUUUGUCACGAAGUGUGUUUGAAUGGGCACAAAAGUUCAAAGAAGAUCGCACGAGUGUUAUGAAAAAACAGCUGGACGCCCGUCCACAUCCACGAUGACAACAUUGAACGUGCUCAUGAACUUAUGCUCUAUGGAAUAGACGAGUGACACUGGAUAAUGUGGCAAAUCAUUUGCAAAUCAGCCACGGCUCUGCUUAUGCAAUAGUGCACGACAGAUUUGGAUUUUAAAAAGUUUGUGCGAGAUGGAUGCCGAAAAAGCUGAUGAAAAGGUGAAGACGACGAUGCAUUCGUGGUUCGCAGCUCAGCCCAAAACAUUUUUUAAUGAGAAAAUACAAAGGUCCUUCGGCAAAUGGACAAAGUGUAUACAGAAAUCGAGUGAUUAUGUCAAAAAAUGAUGUAUGUCUUUUUUGACAAUUGCUUAAAAUAAAUUCUACACCGACAGAGCGGGCUGUUAAUCUAGAGGCUGGAGUACAAAGAAGUGGCACAAUGAUGUGGGCUGAUGACAUUUAUAAUUAUCAAGGAAUCACCCCUACAUUCGCUCAGAAUUUUAAUGAAACUGUCCCUUGGGAAGGAAGAACUGAUACCUUGAUAUCACGGUUUGUACAUCCUAUAUAUACGACAAAUUUUAGAACAUUAUAUAACGAAGAACCAGAUCGUCGUGGCCAUGUGAUGUGAAUAAAAGGACUUGAAUUUGAUGAUAUUUUUAUAAUGUUAGAUAACAUAACUAAGUAUCUUCACAGUAAGAUAGGAUGACAUGGUUUACAUGAUCUUAAUGUUG